UACAGAGGGGGCAAGCGUUGUUCGGAAUUACUGGGCGUAAAGGGCGCGUAGGCGGCCUGCUAAGUCGAACGUGAAAUCCCUGGGCUCAACCCAGGAACUGCGUCCGAUACUGGCAGGCUUGAAUCCGGGAGAGGGAUGUGGAAUUCCAGGUGUAGCGGUGAAAUGCGUAGAUAUCUGGAGGAACACCGGUGGCGAAGGCGGCAUCCUGGACCGGUACUGACGCUGAGGCACGAAAGCGUGGGGAGCAAACAGG
rnacentral:rRNA from 1 species